CAAGAAUACACGUAGUAUUUCCAACUUCAUUUUGAUAUUACUCUAUAAUAGAUAAUUUUCUGCAAAAAUGGAGAAUACCACCACAAAUGGGCAUCUCAACAAUGCAUUGCUGAUCAACAAAGGGCAUCUCAACAAUGGCCUGCACAGCAUACCAAAACCAAAACCCUCAUCAGCACCCACACUAGGCCACCACCUAGCACGCCGACUGGUUCAAGUUGGCGUCUCAGACGUAUUCUCAGUUCCCGGAGACUCCAAUCUGACCCUUCUGGAUUACUUCAUCGGAGAACCAGGGCUGAACAUGGUGGGGUGCUGCAGUGAGCUGAAUGCAGGGUAUGCAGCUGAUGGGUACGCGAGGGCAAAGGGUGUGAGUGCAUGUGCUGUUACCUUCACAGUUGGUGGUCUCAGCAUUCUGAAUGCUAUAGCUGGUGCUUACAGUCAAGAUUUAGCAGUAAUUUGUAUCGUUGGAGGUCCUAAUUCUAAUGAUUAUGGCGCUAAAACAAUUCUUCACCACACCAUCGGAUUGUCGGAUUUCUCCCAGGAGCUUCAGUGCUUUCGGGCAGUCACUUGCCAUCAAGCUACGAUCAAUGAUUUGGACAACGCCCAAGAACAGAUUGAUAGAGCAAUUACAGCAUGUUUAGAAGAAAAAAAGCCUGUUUAUAUCAGCAUUAGCUGUAAUUUGGCGUCCAUCCCUCAUCCCACUUUCGUUCAGGAUCCUAUUCCACUCGUCUUCUCUUCCAAGAUGAGUAACCACAUGGCCCUGGAAGUAGCAGUGGAGGCAGCUGCAGAAAUCCUGAAUAAGGCAGUCAAGCCUGUUCUGGUUGCUGGACCAAAACUCCGAGUUGCUAAAGCCCGCAAUGCCUUCAUAGAGUUAGCAGAUUCUUGUGGCUAUGCAAUUGCAGUCAUGCCAGCUGCAAAAGGCCUUGUGCCAGAGAACUUCCCUUGCUUCAUUGGGACUUAUUGGGGCGCCGCAAGCACCCUUUACAGUGCUGAGAUUGUGGAAACUGCUGAUGCUUCACUCUUUGCAGGACCAAUUUUUGAUGAUUUGAGCAGUGUUGGCCAUUCAUUGGUUUUCAAUAAGAGGGCGGCUAUUAUUGCAGAACCUGAACGAGUAAUAAUUCCAAACAUGCCUGUAUUUUGGCGCGUACCAUUGAAGAACUUCCUUGAAAAACUAGCAAAAAGACUCGAUCAUAACACUAGUGCAUAUGAGAACUACCAGCGGAUUUGUGUUCCAGAGGCACUUCCUCUGCAAUCUGACCCCAUUGAGGACCUGAAGACUAAUAUUAUGUUCGGGCACAUACAGAAGAUGUUGUUGGGUGACAUGAUUCUGUUGGCUGAUGCAGGCGAUGCAUGGUUCCAAUGCCAGAAACUGAAACUGCCAGAGGGUUGUGGGUAUGAGACUCAGCUGCUAUAUGCAUCAAUUGGUUGGUCAAUAGGUGCAACUCUUGGGUUUGCACAGGCUGAACCAGACAAGCGAGUUAUAGCUGUUAUAGGAGAUGGAAGCUUCCAGAUGGCCCCACAAGAAGUGUCCACAAUGCUUAGAUGGGGACACAACAGCAUCAUAUUCUUGAUAAACAAUGGUGGAUACACAAUAGAAGUUGAGAUUCACGACGGUCCCUACAACGUGAUCAAGAAUUGGAGCUACGCUGGGUUAGUUAAUACAAUACAGAAUGGGGAAGGCAACUGUUGGACUACCAAGGUUCGUUGCGAGAAGGAACUAAUUGCAGCAAUUGAAACAGCUAUGGGUGAUAAGAAGAACUGCUUGUGCUUUAUAGAGGUGAUAGUUCACAGGGAUGAUACUAGCAAAGAGCUGCUUCAGUUUGUUUGCAGGUUUGCUGCUGGCAAUAGUCGACCUCCCAACUCUCGUUAGCGUCUGCUUAUUAUGAAGGAAGAGAUGCUAAUUCAGUUUGUGUGGACACUACCAUAAUGAUGUCUGCUUAAUCAGGUCCAGACAGUAAUUUCCCUUUUAAAUAUUAUUUUUGACUUAUAAAAUUAUAAAUAAUGUCCUUUUAAUCAUAAAUUAUAAUUUAGUGAUACGCUAUAAAAUUAAUGCUCA
rnacentral:misc_RNA from 1 species